GUCUCUUUGUGUUUUUUUGCUGAAAAGUUAAAACGAAAAGCAAAGAAAAUUUCUUGGCCCUCCCGGCUUUUACUGUUCCCCAUCCUAUAAUCUGGCUAUAUUGCUCUCAAGUCCAAACUAUCCAUUUCCUUAUUUUCUCCCUCCAAUUGAAGGUAAAUAUCCAUAUUCCACAAAUAUAAUAAACAAAUAUUCCUCUGAUCAUUUGGAGAGAAGACUAGAAUUCUGUAGCUGAAAACAAGCUCAACUUCUAUCCAAGAAAACACAAGUAAGAGAAGAAUUCAAAGAGGCUUAGAGGGGUUGAAUAUGGAUGUAAAGAAAAUUGUGGUAGUUGUAGAAGAUGUGGAAAUAGCAAAAACUGCACUCCAAUGGACUCUACACAAUCUCUUGCGAUAUGGGGAUAUACUCAUCCUUUUACAUGUUUUCCCUAUCACAAAAUCAAGGAGCAAGAAAAAGGUUAAGCUUUUACGUCUCAAAGGUUUUCAAUUGGCUCUCUCCUUCUAUGACGUGCAAAAUAUUUCUCAAUAAGGGUUAUGUUACAGACCAAGACAGAGAUUGUGGUUGCACAGGGGGAUCAAGAUGGUGAAAAGAUUGCUGAAAUGGUUAGAGAAAUUGGUGUUUCUACUCUUGUUGCUGGACUUCAUGAUCAGAGCUUUCUUUACAGGCUGGCCAUGACCCACAACCACAUUGCAAGAAAUUUGAAUUGCAAAGUAGUAGCCAUCAAACAACCAACAACGCCGAUGGCCACAAGGACAAGAACCAUUUCUUUUCAAGAUAGUUCAACCAACAUGGACUUCUCACAGAUUGAAAUUGAUGCACUGAGUGUCCCAGAAGUUAAUCCACCAAAAAUUCCAUACCAUGUUUGUCCAGAUCCUCAUUCUAUCAUUUGGAGAUCAGGAAGAUCAAGAAGAUGGGAAACAAGAAACUAAAUCAAGCAACUAUUUGUCAUUUCAAUGAGGAAAUAUUUGUUUAUUUAAUUUUUUCCUCCAUGUAUUUUGUGAUAGCAAAAAUGGCUAUACAUUUUUCAUUUUUCUGUUUGGCCCACACAAAAAUUAAAGAAAGAGAAAAAAAUUGUUAUACAAAAUUCAACAAAACUGAUGUAGCCGAAAAGAAAAUCCUACCAAACGAACCCUUAGGGACCAUCAACUACAAUUUUUUUCUCUCUCUCUAUAACAUUUUCUCUCCAUACAAUACUGCCGUUACCAUCUCAACGUUCGGAUUUCCAUCGCCCUUCCAUGGGCUCGCCAGACGGCGAUCUGCCGGCAACUGUAAUCAAUUUCAUGGACCCAUCAAGUAAGGUGAGUCCUUCUUGAAAAGAAUCGGAGGUGAACAAAUCCUCCUAUGCCCACAACUUUGACUAAUUGCCCAAGUUCCUCUGCGACCCAAUUUCGCCAAGAACCCCAACACGUCAAAGCUAGAAGGGAGGAAUGCAUGCAGUCAUCUUUAAGACUAGAGAUUAUUACGGUGUUAUGGCGUCUCAAUGUAAAUGAACUAUGGUGGGCCGAUUUUUGAAAAAUAGACCUCAAAUCGACAUCAUAAGAUCUAGAUUUUCAGAAAAAUUCUCUCUCAAAGGAAGCGUGAAGAUAGGCGUAUAUGACAAUUUUAAUGUGUUUCUAAGCUUCACAAACGAUGAAGAUCAUAAUGUAAUUCUCUACAAAAAGAAUGAUUGAAAUUGAAGGGCUUCAAAUGUGGUUACAUGGGUGGACACCCGAUUUCAAGCUUGAGGAAGAUCUGCCUAUUGCUCCAGUAUGUGCCUUACUUCCAGGUAUAAAGGAAUGAAUUUCCAAUUAAUUAUCUGGGAUGUCCUCUUUAUCAAUGAAGAAAGGAAAUACAAUACUACACUCAAAGUUCCACAAAAAUUCUUAAAUGAGUUAGAGCCUGGUAUUGCAACAUGUUAUCCACAGGGGGAAAAGUAACUUUGAUAAAGCAUGUUCUUGUUGCUAUGCCUAUCCACCUGCUAUCUAUCUGCCAACCUCCCAAGACUAUUAUUAAACCGAUGGAGAAAUUUUUGCAAAUUUUCUAUGGGCAAUCAAGAUGGGAAAACAAGAAUCAUUAGGUGGCAUGGAAUAAAUUAUGUCACCCAACACAGGAGGGAGAAAUUGAAAUUAGAUCUAUUCAAGACAUCUCAGACAUCUUAGGAGCUAAGGUGUGGUGGCAGUAUAGAACUAAGAAUAGUCUUUGGGCUGAUUUUCUGAAUGCUAAAUAUGCCAGCAGAAUCCAUCCUGUAGCUAAAAAGUGGAGCUAUACUCAGUCGUACUGUUGGAGGAGGCGUAUGAAAAGCAGAGAUAAAAUUGAUCACUUAAUUAUGUGAAAAAUCAAUAAAGGAAAUGCAAGUUUCUGGUAGGGCAAUUGGUCUGGUAAAGGAAGAUUAACACAAUAUGGAAAUGCCUAUACUUCUGUCAAAGGUCAUGUGUCUGACUAUAUCAUCAAUGGUUGCUGGGAUACAUUUAAGCUUAAUCAGGUUCUUCCUAAUGAUAUUGUUUCCCAUAUUCAUGAAAUUAUAAUUGAAUCUCCUCAUCUACAAGAUCAACCUAUUUGGUCUACUAACACAGAUGAAAAAUACACUUGUAAAUCUACUUGGAAUUGUAUUAGGUAGCAUCAUGGUUCUACUUUAGUCUAUAAAAUGAUAUGGCAUAAGAAGAAUCUUUUUAAAAUCUCUUUCUUUCUCUGGAGGCUGUUGAAACAUAGAGUAGCCGUUGAUCAAAUUAUGGGAAGAUUUGGUAUUCAUCUACCCUCUAAAUGUUCUUGUUGCACUGUUCAUCACCAAGAAGAUAAGGAACAUUUGUUUCUUAAUAGUAUGGUUAGCCAGAGGGUAUGAAAAUAUUUUAACCAAGCCUUUGGGAUUCGUCAACAAUAUCACUGUUUGAGACAAUUGAUUAUUACGUGGUGGUUGACCAAAGAAAAAAAAUGAUGUUUAGAAGAUGGCUCUACAAGUCCUCCAUGGUAUUAUUAUUUGGAAUAUUUGGAAGGCUAGAUGCAAGAGCAGGUUUGACAAUGUAAGUAUGCAAUCUCACAUAAUUAUUCCCCAAAUUUGUGAUCAACUUAACAUUAUAUCUCACAAACAAUUUCCAAAGAUUUCACCUAUUUUAAAUUGGAAGACGUUUCAAGAGAUGAUAGAAAUGGCCAGAGAUCACGUUACUUCUAUGGCUGUCAAAUGAAACUUUCCUCAAACUGGAUUCAUGAAACUCAACUCUGAUGGGUGCUCCAAAGGUAAUCCGGGUCUUAGUGCAGGAGGUGGUAUUAUCAGAAAUGAUAGAGGACAUCUAGUGAAAGCUUAUGCUAUUCCUUUUGGCAACAUGACCAAUAAUAAGCUGAAGUUAUGGCCCUCAAAUUUGUAAUUCAAUGGUGUAAUAUGACUGGCAUAAAAAAUCUAGAAAUUGAGUGUGAUUCUAAGCUACUUACUGAUUGGAUUUUCAAGAUCAAUGCUCCUCCUUGGAAUAUUUUGGAUAUUAUCAAAGACAUACAAUGGUUUGUUUCACAUAUGGAGAGUUAGUCUAUCACACACUGCAAUAGAGAAGGAAACAAAGUGGCAGCUAUUUUGGCUAGCUAUGGUCUUGAAUGCUCUGAAGUUACUUUCUUUUCUGAGUCUCGAAAUAUGCCUAGGGAGGCUAGAGGAGAUUUACACAUGGAUAGAAUUCAGUACCUUUCAUUCAGGAGGAAGACUCAUAAAAGCUCCUUUUGGAUAGAUAAAAACUUGUAUAGGAUCUAUAAUUUUGAUGUCCCUUAAUGGGUGUGCAUAUUGUAUAGAACAGAUUCUAUGUAAAUCUCUGAGUUUUUGAUUUUUUUGAGAGUUUA